GACUCUUAGUGGUGGAUUACUUGGCUCGUGUGUCGAUGAAGAAUGCAGCUAGCUGUGGGAAUUAAUGUGCAAUGCAGGAUACAUUGACACACUGAUCAUCUAUACAUUGAAUGCACUUGUGGCCCUGGGUUCCUUCCGGGGCUAUGCGUGUCUGAGCGUUG
ensembl:rRNA 5_8S_rRNA 5.8S ribosomal RNA